GUUAAGUUGCAGGGUAUAGACCCGAAACCCGGUGAUCUAGCCAUGGGCAGGUUGAAGGUUGGGUAACACUAACUGGAGGACCGAACCGACUAAUGUUGAAAAAUUAGCGGAUGACCUGUGGCUGGGGGUGAAAGGCCAAUCAAACCGGGAGAUAGCUGGUUCUCCCCGAAAGCUAUUUAGGUAGCGCCUCGUGAAUUCAUCUCCGGGGGUAGAGCACUGUUUCGGCUAGGGGGCCAUCCCGGCUUACCAACCCGAUGCAAACUGCGAAUACCGGAGAAUGUUAUCACGGGAGACACACGGCGGGUGCUAACGUCCGUCGUGAAGAGGGAAACAACCCAGACCGCCAGCUAAGGUCCCAAAGUCAUGGUUAAGUGGGAAACGAUGUGGGAAGGCCCAGACAGCCAGGAUGUUGGCUUAGAAGCAGCCAUCAUUUAAAGAAAGCGUAAUAGCUCACUGGUCGAGUCGGCCUGCGCGGAAGAUGUAACGGGGCUAAACCAUGCACCGAAGCUGCGGCAGCGAACGUAUCACCCAAGACAACUUUACGGAGUUGACGAUUGACGGAGCGAAGCGACGUCAAAGCGUUCAUUAAAGUCGAGUUGGCUUAGGGAUACGUUCGUUGGGUAGGGGAGCGUUCUGUAAGCCUGUGAAGGUGUGUCGUGAGGCAUGCUGGAGGUAUCAGAAGUGCGAAUGCUGACAUAAGUAACGAUAAAGCGGGUGAAAAGCCCGCUCGCCGGAAGACCAAGGGUUCCUGUCCAACGUUAAUCGGGGCAGGGUGAGUCGACCCCUAAGGCGAGGCCGAAAGGCGUAGUCGAUGGGAAACGGGUUAAUAUUCCCGUACUUGGUGUUACUGCGAAGGGGGGACGGAGAAGGCUAUGUUGGCCGGGCGACGGUUGUCCCGGUUUAAGCGUGUAGGUGUGUGUUCCAGGUAAAUCCGGUUCACUUUAACACUGAGGCGUGACGACGAGGCACUACGGUGCUGAAGCAACAAAUGCCCUGCUUCCAGGAAAAGCCUCUAAGCAUCAGGUAACACGAAAUCGUACCCCAAACCGACACAGGUGGUCAGGUAGAGAAUACCAAGGCGCUUGAGAGAACUCGGGUGAAGGAACUAGGCAAAAUGGUGCCGUAACUUCGGGAGAAGGCACGCUGACACGUAGGUGAAGUGAUUUACUCAUGGAGCUGAAGUCAGUCGAAGAUACCAGCUGGCUGCAACUGUUUAUUAAAAACACAGCACUGUGCAAACACGAAAGUGGACGUAUACGGUGUGACGCCUGCCCGGUGCCGGAAGGUUAAUUGAUGGGGUCAGCG
rnacentral:rRNA from 1 species